UACGUACGAGGCGAGCGUUAUCCGGAAUUAUUGGGCGUAAAGCGCGCGCAGGUGGCUUGCUAAGUCGGACGUGAAAUCUCCCGGCCUAACUGGGAGGGGUCGUUCGACGACUGGCAGGCUUGAGGACUGCAGAGUGGGUGGAAUUCCUGGGUGUAGUGGUGAAAUGCGUAGAGAUCAGGAGGAACACCGGUGGCGAAGGCGGCCCACUGGGCGAGGUCGACUGACGCUGAGGCGCGAAAGCUCGGGGAGCGAAGCGGG
rnacentral:rRNA from 1 species